AAGACCUUGCGCUUUUGGAGCGGCCGAUGUCUGAUUAGCUAGUUGGUGGGGUAAUGGCCUACCAAAGCUUCGAUCAGUAGCUGGUCUGAGAGGACGGCCAGCCACACUGGGACUGAGACACGGCCCAGACUCCUACGGGAGGCAGCAGUGGGGAAUUUUGGACAAUGGGCGCAAGCCUGAUCCAGCCAUGCCGCGUGAGUGAAGAAGGCCUUCGGGUUGUAAAGCUCUUUCAGCCGGGAAGAAAAGGUUGCGAUUAAUAAUCGCAAUUGAUGACGGUACCGGAAGAAGAAGCACCGGCUAACUACGUGCCAGCAGCCGCGGUAAUACGUAGGGUGCGAGCGUUAAUCGGAAUUACUGGGCGUAAAGGGUGCGCAGGCGGUUUUGUAAGUCAGAUGUGAAMUCCCCGGGCUUAACCUGGGAACU
rnacentral:rRNA from 1 species